CGCGGGCGCUCGGCGGAGCAACACGCCCUUCAGCGUCACGUACUGCGCCGGCGGCAGGCUCAACGCCGAACACAACUGUACACACAUCGUAGUUUCAAUAAACGACCAAACGUGCCCUAAAUGUUAUUUCGAUUUUAAUUAUCAAAAGAAACACGCAUUCAGAGAUUUUUUAACGUGAAAACAAUCUCAAAAUUAUGUAUACGUGGUGAGCAGAUUCCUCGAGCAUCCUGCGCUGUUGCUGUUGCAUGAGCUCUUUUUGGAGCAUCCACAUGCGGUACUUCCGUCCCGUGUGCACUUUGGGCUGGUGGAAUUUGAGCCGCUUUCGCCGUCUCUGUUACAGACAAAAUUCAUGUUCAGUUCCAGUAAACACAAAAUAGUGGGAGAGUAAUCAUCAGUGCGACUCACGUUCCGGUCGUGGUGCGUGGAGCGCCUGAGCGCGGCGUGCUGGUCGUGGUGCGCGCACUCCUCCAGCCGCGUGACGCCGGCCAGCCGGUACCGGUGCAGCUCCGCCAGCCGCACGCGCAGCUCGCGCUCCCGCCACAGCCCGCUCGACACGCACGCCUGCUCAGCGCGCCCGUAGAAUUGGGCCAUCCAUCGUAGCCGCUCCGUGAACUCUCUGAAGAUAUACAAUCUAUAUAUUAAUACGUGAAGCAAAAAUGUUGUACCCCUUUUUACGAAAAUUGCGCGACCGGAGGAGUAUGAAAUUUCCUACACUUAUAGAGAACUAGCUGGCCCGGCAAACGUUUCUAGGAAAGAUAAAUAACCUAGAUACCGACUGCAGCGCCAUCUGCCGGGCUGAUUUGUGAAUCUAAACCAUUCAGAGUGCCACCCAAACGUAUACUCAAAUUCAAAUUUAAUUCAAAUUCAAAUUAAUCAUUAGCGCCCCACAACGAUUCUCAUCAUUAACGCCCCUGCACCUGGUGUAGGGAGUCCAACGCUCAUAUAAAUAUUAGCCUAUCCAUUAAGUACAUGUAUUUUCUACAUGGAUACCAGAUUUCAAGUCAAUCGGGUGCAUGGUUCAGUUGUUAUAACGGAACUUCCGUAAAAACCCCUGUAGAUUUAUAUAUUUGUAUAGAUAUAGAGAAGGAGUGCAGAAUUUUAAUAUACUUAUUUUUAAAUUAUGCAUCAAAAUACAUUAAAUCAAUAAAAAUAAAAACAUUACACACACACACGAAUGCAUAUUAUUUGUUUAUUGUCAAACUUUUCUUUUUGCUUAUAGUCUGUGGUCAAAUUGAGAAUAGAUUAAAUAUUGUUUGUCUUUUUUAAUAUUUGUCUAAAUUGUGUCAAAACACGAAAAUCAUAACAUAUCUAUAUACUACACAUUUGAAAUACUUCAAAAAUAUUAUUGGUACAUACUUUUUUUCUUUGGCAAGUUUUCCUAGGGUCUUCUGUUUAUUCCUCUGAUUGUUGAAGAAGACAGACACUAACUGGAAAUCUCUAACUAAUCUUUUUCGUCUCGUUCUCUCUCUCAGUCUUCUGAUGUAUAUAUCAACUUGUGAUAGCUUUAGUGCUAUAAAAAAUAAAAAAAACGGGAUAUGUCAUUUUUUAUUUAUUAUAUAUAUCUUAUAUGUAUUUAACUAAGCUAUGAGACGUUUUAAAAUCAUAAAAUAGAUAUACAGAUCUUAUAAAGCUUUUAGUCUAGCCUGUUCAUAAUAUGUAUCAAAUAAGAGACGUCUCAGAGUGAAUAAUUCAUAUGUAAAUUUCAAGCUCAAGGUCGGCAGUCUAUCAGUCAUUAUUAUGAUUUUUUUAAAAGGAUAUUAUUAUAUUAAAAACCACAUAUUUUAUCAACCAAAAACCACUUAUCUAUUGAAUAUAUAUCUAUAUAUAACCUACCAACAUCUAAUUCAUCAUCUUCUGGAUUUAAUGAUAAUGUUGAGAUCAACUGCUCUGCCUCAUGAUCAUGUUCCUGAAAUUUCGACACUUUGUAGAACAAUAUUUUAAUUUAUUAUAGUAAAUAGUACAAAAAAUUCAUUCUUACUCUUUCAAAAUCAUCUCUAUUUGGCAUAUACCCAAGUUGUGCUGCUUCGUCUACUGUUAUAGCUAGGUUUGGUAGUCGAGACACUGCAGUUGGACCAAGUGGGCCAUCAUCUUUAUCUGCACAAUGUAGUGAUGGGCGAGAUGUACUUUCAAUAUUGCCCCAUGUUGCUUUGCCUAUGGUGCCUUCCAGGUACCUAGUAAUGUAUUCAUCUUUUGCUUCUGUAAUUGAAAUUUAUGUUUAUUUGUUAUUAUUAUUUAUUUGUCUUUCUUAUAACAAUGAUGUAAAUGAAAGGAUUUGAUUCGAGCCCUACACCCCAGCAGAGGGUAAUAGGAAAGAACGAUGAUUAUGAUUAUUAUUUAUUUUUAUUAUUAUAUUUAAUUAAUAAAUUUAUAUAUAGUAUGAUAAUUCUUUGGUAAUCUUUCUAAAGUUCAGCACUACUGUACCACUGCCACCAUGUGAAGCAGAACCUCCUUUGCUCUACCUAUAGUCGCAGUUCAGUAUAUUUGUUUACAAUGCUUCCAUCGCUGUUACAGGUUUAGGAAGGAGUUUAGAAGAGUGCAGAGGUCUUAAAGAAUCUGAGAUUGACAUGGUCAGUCCUUUUGCGGUGUCAAUUUUUAGAAGUAUUCUCAACAGAUUUAAAUAAUUACUUCUCACCCUAUUUAUUAUUUUUAGUACUGGUGUUAAAUCGUUGAUUUGAACUUAUGGGAUGAUUUAUUUCCAAAUUAUUCUUUUUUACUUGUGAAAAUAAAGGAUAUGCAUCAUGUAAAUUUAAUCCCAACAAAAUUUAUUUAAUGUAAAUGUUUAAUAUAUAUUUCUUAUUCUUGUUUAA